rnacentral:rRNA from 1 species
UACGUAGGGUGCAAGCGUUAAUCGGAAUUACUGGGCGUAAAGCGUGCGCAGGCGGUUUUGUAAGGCUGGCGUGAAAUCCCCGGGCUCAACCUGGGAAUUGCGAUGGAGACUGCAAGGCUGGAGUCUGGCAGAGGGGGGUAGAAUUCCACGUGUAGCAGUGAAAUGCGUAGAGAUGUGGAGGAACACCGAUGGCGAAGGCAGCCCCCUGGGUCAAGACUGACGCUCAUGCACGAGAGCGUGGGGAGCAAACAGG